UGCCUGGUGGGCGAAGGGUUUAAGCCGCUCCACUGGCAAUGGAGAGGUACCGGGUUCGAUUCCCGGUUGGGCAC